rnacentral:rRNA from 1 species
GGAUUAGAUACCCUGGUAGUCCACGCCGUAAACGAUGUCGAUUAAAAACUUGUUGUUUAAUACAGUGGGUUUUGCAGUUAACGCGAUAAAUCGACCGCCUGGGGAGUACGGCCGCAAGGUUAAAACUCAAAUGAAUUGACGGGGGCCCGCACAAGCGGUGGAGCAUGUGGUUUAAUUCGAUGCAACGCGAAGAACCUUACCUACGCUUGACAUCCCAAGAAGGCUUUGGAGACAGAGCUGUGCCUUCGGGAACUUGGAGACAGGUGCUGCAUGGCUGUCGUCAGCUCGUGCCG